AGACUUUUCAAAAAUCUCCCAAUUUCCCCCCUCCCCGUUUACAAUGUUGGUUUGUGGUCCAAUAACCAUGGUUUGAACCAACAUUGUGGUAGGGGGAGGGGGGAGUUACUAUUUCUAGCGAUCAUGGACGUUUGUAUUAACUAAAAAUAAAAUGGCUUUACAAAAUAGUAAGGCAAGAUGCGUUUGAAAAAAGUCUACGGAUAUUAUUUCCAUGAUUGUCUAAAUUUAAAGACAAAAAUUGUGCGGGGAUACUGGAGAAGCGG